CGAACGAAGCACCUGAGAAUGAUUCUUCGGAUGAAGUCUCUUGUGACUGAGUGGCGGACGGGUGAGUAACGCGUGGGUAACCUGCCUCACACAGGGGGAUAACAGUUGGAAACGACCGCUAAUACCGCAUAACCCGCUGGUGCCGCAUGGCACUGACGGAAAAGAUUUAUCGGUGUGAGAUGGACCCGCGUCUGAUUAGCCAGUUGGCAGGGUAACGGCCUACCAAAGCGACGAUCAGUAGCCGGCCUGAGAGGGUGAACGGCCACAUUGGGACUGAGACACGGCCCAGACUCCUGCGGGAGGCAGCAGUGGGGAAUAUUGCACAAUGGGGGAAACCCUGAUGCAGCGACGCCGCGUGAGUGAAGAAGUAUUUCGGUAUGUAAAGCUCUAUCAGCAGGGAAGAAAAUGACGGUACCUGAUUAAGAAGCCCCGGCUAACUACGUGCCAGCAGCCGCGGUAAUACGUAGGGGGCAAGCGUUAUCCGGAUUUACUGGGUGUAAAGGGAGCGUAGACGGUGAUGCAAGUCAGAAGUGAAAGCCCGGGGCUCAACUCCGGGACUGCUUUUGAAACUGUGUGACUGGAGUGCAGGAGAGGCAAGCGGAAUUCCUGGUGUAGCGGCGAAAGGCGCAGCUCUUAGGAAAAACACCAGUGGCGAAGGCGGCUUUAUUGGACUGUAACUUGACUUUGAGGCUCGAAAGCGGGGGGGGCCUUUUAGGUAGNNNNNNUGGUGUCCAAACAUAAAGGCCCUAUGUAGACGUCGGGGAGCAAAGCUCUUCGGUGCCGCAGCAAACGCAUUAAAUAUUCCACCUGGGGGAGUACGUUCGCAAGAAUGAAACUCAAAGGAAUUGACGGGGACCCGCACAAGCGGUGGAGCAUGUGGUUUAAUUCGAAGCAACGCGAAGAACCUUACCAGGUCUUGACAUCCCUCUGACCGGGAUUUAAUCAUCCCUUUCCUUCGGGACAGAGGAGACAGGUGGUGCAUGGUUGUCGUCAGCUCGUGUCGUGAGAUGUUGGGUUAAGUCCCGCAACGAGCGCAACCCUUACCUUCAGUAGCCAGCGGUUCGGCCGGGCACUCUGGAGGGACUGCCAGGGACAACCUGGAGGAAGGUGGGGAUGACGUCAAAUCAUCAUGCCCCUUAUGAUCUGGGCUACACACGUGCUACAAUGGCGUAAACAAAGGGAAGCGAGACAGUGAUGGCAAGCAAAUCUCAGAAAUAACGUCUCAGUUCGGAUUGCAGUCUGCAACUCGACUGCAUGAAGCUGGAAUCGCUAGUA
rnacentral:rRNA from 1 species